GAAAGAAACCCAAAAAUCUCUGAUAUAGAAAGGUUUUGUAAACGGGUCAGAUAUGAUCCGAGGACACCAGGAGGAUUAAUGAGCUUCAGCAUUGGCUUCACUUCUCAGACACGGAAACUUUGUCCUUUAUUUUUAUUUUUUAACAGUCUGUGCCAAGGACGGACAGACACAGAGAGGACAUCCUGAAACGCCACUCAGCGGCCAAUCACAGGACAGGAAUCUCCACACGGGAGCCAACCAGAGACAUCUCGUCAAGGACGAAAACAUCGGCACGUCAGUGUCCACUCCUCUGUUCUCGCUUUCUUUGCUCUCUCUUCCAGUCCCCCCAAAGUCUCAGCUGAUGCCUCUAUUAUUAAC